GACGAACGCUGGCGGCGUGCUUAACACAUGCAAGUCGAACGGAAAGGCCCUGCUUUUGUGGGGUGCUCGAGUGGCGAACGGGUGAGUAACACGUGAGUAACCUGCCCUUGACUUUGGGAUAACUUUAGGAAAAUGGGGCUAAUAUCCGAUAGGAGAUCCUGCUGCACGGUGGGGAUUGGUAAGUUUCGGCUGUUUGGGAUGGACUAGAGGCUUAUCAGCUUGUUGGUGAGGUAGUGGCUUACCAAGGCUUUGACGGGUAGCCGGCCUGGGAGGGUGACCGGCCACAUUGGGACUGAGGUACGGCCCAGACUGCUACGGGAGGCAGCGGGGGGAAGUAUUACAGAAUGGGCGGAAGCCUGAUGCAGCAACGCCGGGUUCGGGAUGACGGCCUUCGGGUUGUAAACCGCUUUCGCCUGUGACGAGGCGUGAGUGACGGUAAUGGGUAAAGAAGCACCGGCUAACUACGUG
rnacentral:rRNA from 1 species